rnacentral:rRNA from 1 species
GUGCUUAACACAUGCAAGUCGAACGGAAAGGCCCUUCGGGGUGCUCGAGUGGCGAACGGGUGAGUAACACGUGGGUGAUCUGCCCUGCACUUUGGGAUAAGCCUGGGAAACUGGGUCUAAUACCGGAUAGGACCACGGUCUGCAUGGAUUGUGGUGGAAAGCUUUUGCGGUGUGGGAUGGGCCCGCGGCCUAUCAGCUUGUUGGUGGGGUGAUGGCCUACCAAGGCGACGACGGGUAGCCGGCCUGAGAGGGUGACCGGCCACACUGGGACUGAGAUACGGCCCAGACUCCUACGGGAGGCAGCAGUGGGGAAUAUUGCACAAUGGGCGCAAGCCUGAUGCAGCGACGCCGCGUGAGGGAUGACGGCCUUCGGGUUGUAAACCUCUUUCAGCACAGACGAAGCGCAAGUGACGGUAUGUGCAGAAGAAGGACCGGCCAACUACGUGCCAGCAGCCGCGGUAAUACGUAGGGUCCGAGCGUUGUCCGGAAUUACUGGGCGUAAAGAGCUCGUAGGUGGUUUGUCGCGUUGUUCGUGAAAUC